rnacentral:tRNA from 1 species
GGUUGUGGCUCAGCGGUAGAGUGCUUGUCUCACACGCGCGGGACCCUGGGUUCGAUCCUCAGCACCA